UCUCUGGUAGUAUAUCGGUUAGUACACGCGCCUGUCACGAUUUUUCCUGAAAACAUUUCGCGCGAAAGCUGGGUUCGACUCCCAGCCAGAGAG